rnacentral:rRNA from 1 species
GUCGAACGGCAGCACGGGGGCAACCCUGGUGGCGAGUGGCGAACGGGUGAGUAAUACCUAGGAACAUGUCCAGUAGUGGGGGAUAACGCAGCGAAAGCUGUGCUAAUACCGCAUACGCCCUACGGGGGAAAGCGGGGGAUCUUCGGACCUCGCGUUAUUGGAGUGGCCUAGGCCUGAUUAGCUAGUUGGUGAGGUAAAGGCUCACCAAGGCGACGAUCAGUAGCUGGUCUGAGAGGAUGAUCAGCCACACUGGAACUGAGACACGGUCCAGACUCCUACGGGAGGCAGCAGUGGGGAAUUUUGGACAAUGGGGGAAACCCUGAUCCAGCCAUUCCGCGUGAGUGAAGAAGGCCUUCGGGUUGUAAAGCUCUUUCAGGAGGGAAGAAACGGUUGCAGCUAAUACCUGCGACUAAUGACGGUACCUUCAGAAGAAGCACCGGCUAACUACGUGCCAGCAGCCGCGGUAAUACGUAGGGUGCGAGCGUUAAUCGGAAUUACUGGGCGUAAAGCGUGCGCAGGCGGUUUUGUAAGUCAGAUGUGAAAGCCCCGGGCUCAACCUGGGAACUGCGUUUGAAACUACAAGGCUAGAGUGUAGCAGAGGGGGGUAGAAUUCCACGUGUAGCAGUGAAAUGCGUAGAGAUGUGGAGGAACACCGAUGGCGAAGGCAGCCCCCUGGGAUGACACUGACGCUCAUGUACGAAAGCGUGGGUAGCAAACAGGAUUAGAUACCCUGGUAGUCCACGCCCUAAACGAUGUC